AAGGAUCAUUACCGAGUGCGUUAGUUAAUUCUGACUCCUCCCACCCUUGUUUUCAAACAGCCGAAAAGCAGCUUCGGCGGACCGUUUGGCAUUGUUCAGACGCCGGCUCCCUCUCCGGGGAGCGGGUCCGCGUCCGCCGGAGGAACCCGACUCUUGAUGUGAUUUAUGAAGUCUGAUAAACAUAAACAAAUAAGUUAAAACUUUCAACAACGGAUCUCUUGGUUCUG
rnacentral:misc_RNA from 1 species